AAACCGUUCAGGGGUAAACCUGAGAAACCCGAAAGUUGAAAGGAGAGAUUCACCGGACUGACCCGUCGGCGAGUGCGCGUACGGACGUCGCGCCGGCUUCGGUCGGCGUGCGCCGCACGCGUGCCGUUCGGACGUGCGAUCGCGUGCACUUCUCUCCUAGUAGGACGUCGCGACCCGUCGGGUGCCGGUCUACGAUCGACGGUGGAGUCCGAGAGAACGAUUCGCGUCGUUCUCGCGAACCCGUCGCAUCCUGCCGGCUCGCUCGACGGUAGUACAWGAAGGGCGCGGGGCCGCGACCAGUCGCGUCCGACCCGUCGCAAGCGUGCUCGGCAAUUCGGUGCUCUCGGAGUCCUCGCGUCUCCGGACCCGGAUCCGAGCUGUUGGSGACGGUGCUCUCGGACAGACUCCGUAUACACKCCCSKYARCCAMRCYWUUGCUUUGGGUACYUUCAGGAMCMGUCUUGAAACMCGGACCRAGGAGUCUAGCAUGAACYCGAGUCUUARGGACUCUCAAAUUCSAAAGAACUAAACCUUGAGGCGCAAUGAAAGWGAARAUCCCCCUUGCGCGCGCSAUSKAGGGAAUACGGGGGAGGAGGCGCAMRCAMRMYGUCGUUCCGAACCCUGCAUUCCCGGGGCGUCUCGAUCUCAUCGCGAGA
rnacentral:rRNA from 1 species